AUUAAGCUCGUGAUCGACGGAUAGGUGUUUCCUGCUCUUGAUGAGCAACAAGGUCAUACGGCAUUGACUGCUGAUAUAUACGUAUGAUCCAACAUGCUUUACUACUCUCGAGUUACGAUCUCGAAUUCUAGGAGCUGGCGGAAUAUAGGCCCCGUUUGGUAGGGUUUCUCAAAGUGCUUCUCCACCGGCUUUUGAUGAAGCCCUACCAAAGGAUCAAUUUCAAAACGGCUUCACCACCAAAGCCGAGGAGAAGCGGCAAAACGGCUUACACUAGAGAGGAGAAGCCGAAAAAAGUGGCUUCACCGGCUUCUCCUCUCUCUCCAAGCAUUAAGUGAUCAUAAAAUUACAUAUAUUGCCAUUGAGAAGCCGUUUUACCAAACGUUUUGCAAAAUGGCUUCAGCUUCACUAAAAAGACCACUCCACCGAAGAAGCCGAAGCCGAAGCCGUUUUAUGAGAAGCCGAAGCUCUACCAAACGGGACCAUAGUAAUGAGAGUUGUCCAUGGAUUGGCGGGAAAGUUAAAGGGGCCUUUGGUAGGGCUCUGGCCUCUGGCUCCGGCUUUUGCACCGGCUUCAGGCCAAACCCUACCAAACGGCUGAGUUGAAAAGGGCUUCACAGGAGAAGCCGGUGUGAAGAAGCCGGUCAUCAAAUUGAACUGAGCAGCGUGAGCCAUAAAAUUAGGCCCUUGUUUACUUCCCUCCAAACUUCCAACUUUGACACUAUGCAAAAAGAAGAUUAUCCAUCACAUCAAACUUGCGGUACAUGCAUGGAGUACUAAAUGUAGACGAAAUCAAAAACUAAUUGCACAGUUUUGCAUGGAGUACUAAAUGUAGACGAAAUCAAAAACUAAUUGCACAGUUUUGUUGUACUUUGCGAGACGAAUCUUUUGAGCCAAAUUAGUCAAUAUUUGGACAAUAAUUCACAAAUACAAACGAAACGCUACAGUAUCGCAUUUAUGGCAAAAUGCCAAUUUGGCACCUCCCAACUUGGGAAGUAAACAAGGCCUAGCUUUCCCCGGCUUCUCCUCUUCCCCACACAGCCAUGUGCUUUAACUUUGCCCCUCAAGUUCGUCGAAACUACUGCAAAAUUGCCACUCCCCUUACCUUCUCUCCGCGACGCUGGUGACGACACCGGGCUCGGGAAGGACCAACGUCGGGGCGGCGCGGCAGCUCGCUCGCGGUGCUGCCGGUGCGCUGGUGGUGGCGCAGGCCGACGGUAGGCGGAGGAGCAGCGGGACAGCGCCGCCGCGCACGGCGCACCGGCGGCGGUGUAUCGCGGGGACGACCGGUGGCCGCGUGGCCGCGCGAGGCGGUCUGACGGCGGCGUGGUUGCCGCACCGGCGGCGGAGCGGACCGGCUGCUGGAGCUCCUAGGCGGGCGAGCUCGAGGUCCCCAGGCUGCCGCGC
rnacentral:lncRNA from 1 species